rnacentral:rRNA from 1 species
CCGCCGGCGACCGGCGCACGGGUGAGUAACACGUAUGCAACCUGGCCGUGACAGAUGGAUAACCGGGAGAAAUCCCGCCUAAUACAACAUAAUGCCGGGAGGGGACAUCCCCUGCCGGCCAAAGGGGGCGACCCCGGUCACGGAUGGGCAUGCGGCGCAUUAGGUAGUUGGUGGGGCAACGGCCCACCAAGCCGACGAUGCGUAGGGGUUCUGAGAGGAACGGUCCCCCACAUUGGAACUGAGACACGGUCCAAACUCCUACGGGAGGCAGCAG